rnacentral:piRNA from 1 species
UGACGGCAUAAGUUUGACAUC